rnacentral:rRNA from 1 species
UUCGGAUCGCAGGCUGCAACCCGCCUGCGUGAAGUUGGAAUCGCUAGUAAUCGCGGAUCAGCAUGCCGCGGUGAAUACGUUCCCGGGCCUUGUACACACCGCCCGUCACACCAUGAGAGUCGGGAACACCCGAAGUCCGUAGCCUAACCGCAAGGGGGGCGCGGCCGGAGGUGGGUUCGAUAAUUGGGGUGAAGUCGUAACAAGGUAUC